rnacentral:rRNA from 1 species
GGCAACGGUCAUACCAUGCUGAAAACACCACUUCGUGUCCGAUCACUGAAAUUAAGCAACAUCGGGCGCGGUUAGUACUUGGGUGGGUGACCGCUUGGGAACACACCGCAUGCUGUUGUCA